rnacentral:rRNA from 1 species
AUGACUCUCGGCAGCGGAUAUCUCAGCUCUCGCAUCGAUGAAGAACGUAGUGAAAUGCGAUACCUGGUGUGAAUUGCAGAAUCCCGCAAACCAUCGAGUCUUUGAACGCAAGUUGCGCCCGAGGCCAUUCGGCCGAGGGCACGCCUGCCUGGGCGUCACGC